GGCCGGGUCGUCUAAUGGUAGGACGUUGGAUUCAUCACAUUCGACAUGCGGGUUCAAAUCCCGCCCCGGCCG
rnacentral:tRNA from 1 species